CGUGCCAGCAGCCGCGGUAAGACGUAGGAGGCGAGCGUUAUCCGGAUUUACUGGGCGUAAAGGGCAAGUAGGCGGUAGUUCAAGUCAGUUGUGACAGAUCCCGGCUCAACUGGGAGAGGACGAUUGAGACUGAGCGACUAGAGGACAGGAGAGGGGAGCGGAAUUCCUUGUGUAGCGGUGGAAUGCUCAGAUACAAGGAGGAACACCAGUGGCGAAGGCGGCUCUCUGGUCUGAUCCUGACGCUGAAGAGCGAAAGCUAGGGGAGCGAACGGGCUUAGAUACCCCGGUAGUCCUAGCUGUAAACGUUGGGUACUAGGUAUUGGGGGUGAGAACACUUUCAGUGCCGAAGCGAACGCGUUAAGUACCCCGCCUGGGGACUACGGCCGCAAGGUUAAAACUCAAAGGAAUUGACGGGGGCCCGCACAAGCAGCGGAGCGUGUGGUUUAAUUCGAUGCGACACGAAGAACCUCACCUGGGUUUGACAUACAAGUAGUACGGGAGCGAAAGCCGACCGAGCCGCAAGGCAGCUUGAACAGGUGCUGCAUGGCUGUCGUCAGCUCGUGCCGUGAGGUGUUGGGUUAAGUCCCACAACGAGCGCAACCCUUGUUGCCAGUUACAAGUAUCUGGCGAGACUGCCGGCGUAUAACCGGAGGAAGGUAGGGAUGAUGUCAAGUCAGCAUGGCCUUUAUAUCCAGGGCUACACACACGCUACAAUGACCGGUACAGAGGGCAGCGAAACCGCGAGGCGGAGCCAAUCCCACAAAGCCGGUCUCAGUUCAGAUUGCAGGCUGCAACCCGCCUGCAUGAAGUCGGAGUUGCUAGUAACCGCAGGUCAGCUAUACUGCGGUGAAUACGUUCCCGGGUCUUGUACACACCGCCCGUCA
rnacentral:rRNA from 1 species